UUCGGUUUCCAGCUGAGUAGCCAUUCCAGUUUCUUAUUUUCUCUUGAAAGUGAUCAGCAAUUAACAAACCCUGAUUCACUAAUUAUUAGUUUUGCUAAAUACAAACAAAGUCUAACCCAACCACAUACCAUGCUAUUGCAUUGAGGAAAACUGUGAAAAGCUAUAAUGCCACACUACAGACUUAACAGACCAAACGUUUAAUAACUGAGGGUUAUCAGCAGGCAUUAGUAUAUUAAGGACACUGAACUCUAGGGGCCAAAACAAUCAGUCAUGUCAUUGAAAUAACCAAGAAGCUAAGCCACAGUAACUGGAAAGGAAGAGAUGAUGAGGAAUAGAGCACCAGCUCCUCAGCAACACAGAUCUACCAGAGAGCAGCAUCCUACAUUGCCAUAGAAUGACACCAGGGAAUAUGGAAUGGACCAUGGGAGCAAGUGAAGGAAUUCAGGUAUCUCGGAAGACUUGGGGUUUACUAAGAAGGACACUACCAAAGGCAUUUGAUGAUGCACCUCUUACACCAAGCUGCAGGUAGAAGGUGAAUAUCCAACUAGGCAUUAUCUCAGGAAGAGGUAAGUUGCAAGAUAAAACACUUCACUGUUCACAUACCACCUUUAGAAGACAGUAUUACCUUGCUUCUACAGGACAACAGUAGAUUUGAAUUGGAGGAUUUAGGCAGAGAGCCAUUAUAAGUAAAUUUUCAAACACUUAGAAGAAGAGCUAGACAGUGUAUAUUUGAGCUAGAUGGAAUAGUUUAUGCUACCUUAACAUAAACAACUUUAAAUUCUGAUUCAAGUGGAUCUAAAGCUAGAGGAGUUUAA